GGAUACUUAGUACGGCGAGUGAGCGGUAAAAGCUCAAAUUUGAAAUCUGGUACUUUCAGUGCCCGAGUUGUAAUUUGUAGAAUUUGUCUUUGAUUAGGUCCUUGUCUAUGUUCCUUGGAACAGGACGUCAUAGAGGGUGAGAAUCCCGUUUGGCGAGGAUACCUUUUCUCUGUAAGACUUUUUCGAAGAGUCGAGUUGUUUGGGAAUGCAGCUCAAAGUGGGUGGUAAAUUCCAUCUAAAGCUAAAUAUUGGCGAGAGACCGAUAGCGAACAAGUACAGUGAUGGAAAGAUGAAAAGAACUUUGAAAAGAGAGUGAAAAAGUACGUGAAAUUGUUGAAAGGGAAGGGCAUUUGAUCAGACAUGGUGUUUUUUGCAUGCACUCGCCUCUCGUGGGCUUGGGCCUCUCAAAAAUUUCACUGGGCCAACAUCAAUUCUGGCAGUAGGAUAAAUCAUUAAGAAUGUAGCUACCUCGGUAGUGUUAUAGCUUAUUGGAAUACUGCUAGCUGGGAUUGAGGACUGCGCUUCGGCAAGGAUGUUGGCAUAAUGGUUAAAUGCCGCCCGUCUUGA
rnacentral:rRNA from 1 species